AGUAAGUGAAGUCGGAGUGAAAAUUAUGUGUCAUUUUAGUUCGUCAUGUUUCAAUUUUUUAUAUCUUACAAAAUGGCUACCACAUGUCAAGAUAUAUCUUCAAUAAUAUUUUUCGACGCCGUCCGCUUCCGAACUUGAUUUUUAUUGUCUCGGUGUUAGUUUCUGUUUUUGUAUUGAAUCACCGUGGGAUUUCACUUCGAGUUUGCUCCGACGCUGUCAUUCAAUAGGAAUAACACAGUUUCAUAGCCGAAACUAUCAUCAUCACGAGUAUCCGAACAGCGGGAAAACAACAAACAUUGUGGUGCUGGUGAGUACCUAUACAACAUCCAACAUGGCUGCUAUACGUGUUGGAGAAACACAUUAUUGGUGCACGUCCAAAAAUAGAAAACUGAGCAGAAUAACAUGAAACACAAUUCCAAUAAGACGGGAAUUUCCAUAAGGUACAAAAUGGCCGAGCGGACGCGAGUUGAAUAAUUAAUAAUGACGGACGCGAGCCAGACUCGAACAUCAACUCAACUCAACAUCAUGAGUUUCAAGAGCUGAUGAGAUGAAACGCGACAGGCGAAAAUGUAGCAGUAAUAAGGUUUUCCCGAUUACCAACACGUCAACAACACAGUCAAUAAAAUACAAUACAACACAAUAAACAAUAAAAUACGAGUACUAUUAUAAUAAUAAUGUAAUAUUUAUAAAUGUGUUAUUUGAAUAUGAAUAAAUGUAAAA